GCUGUGGGGCUGCCGGUGGGACCCGCGGGGGCGGGGACCGGGGCUGGUCCCGUCCCCAGGCAGCGCGGCUGCAGCCCGGGGUGGAGCUGCGGGGCUCGGCCCAGGAAGGGGCUGGAGCAGCCGGGGCGGAAGCAGGGAAAACAAAGCACAGAAACAAGGGGGGGGGACAGCUCCGGGCGGUGCAGUACAAGCCGCUGCUCCCCCGGGGAUCCGUGUGUGUGCUUGGGGGGGGGGCAUUAACCCCUCCCUGCCCGGCGUGGGGGGGGGGGACUUUCUCCAGCUGGGACCCGCCCCCUGGGGCAGCCCCGGAGCCAGAGGCUGCAGUUCAUCCCAGCCUCCCGUGGGACAGGGAAGGGAAAUGGCUGCAGUGGAGCCCGUCCAGGGGCCGGUGACCUUCGAGGAGGUGGCUGUGUAUUUCACCAGAGAAGAGUGGGCUCUGC